UACGAAGGGGGCUAGCGUUGUUCGGAAUUACUGGGCGUAAAGCGCGCGUAGGCGGCUCGCCAAGUCGGACGUGAAAGGCCCGGGCUUAACCUGGGACCGGCGUUCGAGACUGGUGGGCUAGGGUCCGGAAGAGGGCAGUGGAAUUCCCAGUGUAGAGGUGAAAUUCGUAGAGAUUGGGAAGAACACCGGUGGCGAAGGCGGCUGCCUGGUCCGUGUCCGACGCUGAGGCGCGAAAGCGUGGGGAGCAAACAGGAUUAGAUACCCUGGUAGUCCACGCUGUAAACGAUGAGAGCUAGAUGUUGGGAGGCUUAGCCUCUCGGUGUCGUAGCUAACGCGUUAAGCUCUCCGCCUGGGGAGUACGGCCGCAAGGUUA
rnacentral:rRNA from 1 species